rnacentral:rRNA from 1 species
UACAGAGGGUGCAAACGUUGUUCGGAAUUACUGGGCGUAAAGCGAGUGUAGGCGGUGUGGUAAGUCGGAUGUGAAAGCCCCGGGCUCAACCCGGGAAGUGCAUUCGAUACUGCCACGCUAGAGUAUCGGAGAGGUUGGUGGAAUUCUCGGUGUAGAGGUGAAAUUCGUAGAUAUCGAGAGGAACACCGGUGGCGAAGGCGACUUACUGGACACAUAUUGACGCUGAGGUGCGAAAGCGUGGGGAGCAAACAGG